UAAUACGGAGGGAGCAAGCGUUGUUCGGAAUUACUGGGUGUAAAGAGGGCGCAGGUGUCCUGCCAAGUUUCGGGUAAAAUCCUUGGGCUCAACCUAAGAAUUGCGCGGAAAACUGGUAGGAUUGAGCAUAGGAGAGGAAGGCGGAACUCCCAGUGUAGCGGUGGAAUGCGUAGAUAUUGGGGGGAACACCAGUGGCGAAGGCGGCCUUCUGGACUAUUGCUGACACUCAUGCCCGAAAGCCAGGGGAGCAAACAGGAUUAGAUACCCUGGUAGUCCUGGCCUCAAACGAUGUGAGCUAGGUGUCCCGGAAUAUAUUCUGGGGUGCCGCAGCUAACACAUUAAGUGUCCCACCUGGGGACUACGGCCGCAAGGUUG
rnacentral:rRNA from 1 species